rnacentral:tRNA from 1 species
GCUGACGUGGCUCAAUCGGCAGAGCACUCGAUUCGUAAUCGAGGGGUUGAGGGUUCGAUUCCCUCCGUCAGCU